rnacentral:lncRNA from 1 species
UUUUUUUUUUGGUGGCGAGAAAUGCUUUAGCCUAACCUAGUCGUCAGUCAUGUGCCGAGUUUACCAAGUCCCUCUUAUCAAGAGAAGAAUGCAUGUUAGUCUGCUGAGGCUAGAUAAGACUUGCUUAUAUUAGUGCUUAUAGGCACUAAGAAAAUCACUUGUUUCAUGAGGAUAAGUUAGAAUUUGUCCACCAAAUGUUAUUCCUUGCCAAAAUUUUGGUAAAGCGUCUUCGGUAGUCCACAUCAGAGUGUGCACUCCACCUAUGAUUAUUCAAUGAAUGCGCAUACUCUUCUGAAUGGAGUCACAAAUCUGAUAACAUCUAUUUUGAGAAUACCUUCUGAAUAUUUGUGACCUCAAGAGAUAUCAGAAUACGCAUGGGAGUAGAAUUGUAUGCGCUGACCAUGGUGUAAAGAAGAUGGGCUUUUUAUCAUGUCUUUCAUCAGGAAACGAAAAGAUCCCAAACCUAUAGUAAUGUGGCACAUGUUGUGUAUGUGACUGUCGCCAGAUAUAAUAUCACUUGCUGACUUAUGACCAUUUUUCGCUGUUCAACAGUUGAUGAUGACACAGAAGCUCCUUAUCAUCUUUUAUCAAGUCAUCCUCUUCCUGAUUGACUCGAAUCAGAGAUAGGAAAAUUUCGGUUCAAUUAUGAGCAGCAGUGCAUCAGGGUACGUAGGUGAAUGAACUCUGCCCUAGGCGUUCCUAGUAAGUUCAGUGAAUUAAGGGAUCUUUCUUUAUCUCGAGGGAAAAUACACUACAAUUGAUAAAGUCUUUGUCCAACAAGACAUCAGUAGAAUAGAAAAACUUUUAAGGAUGCAAAUUACUGCGAGAAAGAAGCACUUGUGCUGACAAUGAAGCCACUAGCAGGUGCAGGAAAGACAUCAGUAGAAUAGAAAAACUUUUAAGGAUGCAAAUUGCUGCGAGAAAGAAGCACUUGUGCUGACAAUGAAGCCACUAGCAGGUGUUGGACUGUGGAUGGAGUUUCCUAAAGUAUAUACCAGUAUUACCGAUUUACCGUGUAUAUGGUAUAGUAAUAAAGAUUCAUAUCGUGUCUUUUAUUCAAGAGAAGAAAGAGAUGUCAAGCGGGCCUACUAGGCUACAAUAAUGCGGCACAUGCUAUCAGCGACCAAUUCUUUGUAACCAAGGAUUAAGAUUAACACGCCAUCUGCGGAAUUAUGACUUCUUUUCUCGCUGUUCAAAACAGCAGUUGAUGAUGACAGAUGGGCAAAGUCAGCAGCACAACUUGCAGUUGAUGAUGACAGAUGGGCAAAGUCAGCAGCACAACUUGCUAAAUUAAUUAAAAGAUGGAGAAUUUCAGUGGGAAAGCAUUCGUGUCUGUGUGUGCAUGCGGGUGUUUGGGUCUCGGGGGUUUGCCAGAAAACAGUGUGGCACUGAAGACAAAACAAAACUCAUCUAAAAAACUAUAAUGGUAAAAAUGAAAUGUACGAGCGGUUUUUAAACUUUUUCUAAAGUGUCCAUGACCUCGUAAAAAAAUAUACUUCUUUUAUUUCAAAUUUCCAAAUUGUAAGUCGUUUUGACUUUUCUAAGUGCAUAGAUAUUAUUAGCAUCUAGAUACUAUAGGGAGUAUUAGGUCCAAAAUGUUGUAAGAUGCCUUUAUGAUUUUGACUUGUCCAUAUGAAAUCUCCACACUGACAUACCACAUCAGCACGUCUAAGAAUAUUUUAAGAAUUUUGGACUUAUGACAUAUAUACCGCCACUCGUAGCUUUAAGGUUGGACCUACUAGUAUGCAAUGGUGAAGAUUUUAGCUGAACCAACACCAUGCCGGAAGUUAAUGAACCCUAAGGCCAAGUACUUACAACGACAACAAAAACACCCAAUGACAGUGAGAAAACAAAGGCCACGCGAUGCAAGCGACCAACAAAGCAAACCACAACCGCCAGCAACAACCAGCGAGUGAAGUCCACCGCACUGACGACGAAACAUCACCCUGCGCGCUGUAGCAGCCGGCAGAGGAAGGGGAUGUUCUUCCAACUUGUUGGAGUAACUUCGGGUGCAUAAACCUCUCCGUGAUCAAACUUUAUCACAUCGAAUGUUUAGAUACUAAUUAGAAGUAUUAAAUAUAGACUAAUUACAAAACCAAUUGCAAGGCUAAUUCGUGAAACGAAUUUAUUAAGCCUAAUUAGUUCAUGAUUUGACAAUGUGAUGUUACAGUAAACAUGUGCUAAUCAUGGAUUGAUUAGGCUUAAUAGAUUCGUCUUGCGAAUGUAAUUAAUUUUAUAAUUAACUCAUUUUUAGUUCUCCUAAUUAACCUCCAAAAAUUUGAUAUGACAUGACCCAAACGCCCCCUGCUAGUUAGUCUGGCGUCCAAGUCUUACCGAUUCUGACUUCUGAGCCUGCUGACCGAUCCCCGUACGUGGCUCAGGCUUUCAAUACUGACCGUGUGGGCAGUCGGCUGCUAACCAAUGGGAAAGGAAAAAAAAAAUACUAGUACAGAACAAAAAAUAUGAUCGGCGCCAUAUACCAGAGUGUAUAAACACCUGACUCAGCAGCUGCUAGGUCCAGUAUAAGUAGCAUCCUGUCCGGACAUCCAGUUCAAGAGCUCAUCAUCAUCCAACGUACCACGCAUUAGAGAGAGCUUGCCUUGCUCAUCAUCAUCAUCCAGCUGGAGCAACGUGAGCUCUCCCCGCGCGCGGCUAGCUAGCCUUGCUCCGAGUCAAAGCUCCGGCUGAUCCAUCGAUCGAUCGAUCGAUCUCCGUCGACCAGAGAGAGGUUGCAAGAAGAGGACCGGAGAGGUAGCGAAGAUGCACGGCGGGGGAGUAGUACUCCCGGUGAACGGCGGCGGCGGGCCGGGCGCCGGCUACAGCAGCGAGAUCACCUUCACGGUGGUGAUGAGCUGCCUCAUGGCGGCCUCCGGCGGGCUCAUCUUCGGCUACGACAUCAGUAUCACAGGUCAGUAUAUAGUGCUAGCUGCUGUGUGGUGUGGUCAAUCUAUUGUACGCACAUUCUGCUGUUCUUGUGCUUGUGCUCCGGCGAGCAACGCACACAGACUCGAAAACCCCCUCUAGCUCUUUCCUUCUUCACGCGCGCGCUGCAUCUAUCUCCCCCCUUUUUUUAAGAAAAAAAAUCCUGCUGACUGAGUUUGGCCCAUAAUCCAUGUGAGCUGUUCUCCACAUGCCAAUUCAAGACGCUCUGUCAGAGUAAGAGUUUGAGCAAACGUAUGUACAGCUGCUCAAAAAACAUUCACCCAAAGCCUUAAAAACUGAAGAACUCGCUCAGGAAAAGAAAACAUCGAUUUCUCAGAGGCAGACACCCCAGUGAACUACCGUUCUCCUUUUUGGUUAAACGGGUCAUUAUCACCGACGCUACGCUCCCUUCACUUGUAGAGAGCUUGAUGAUGCAGGACAGGACAGGACCUGAUCCGUGCUCUGACUUCCUGCACUGCCGCGCGUAGUUUCUCCUUGGGUUCGUCCGCAUGUCUGAACUGGACUCCCAAAAGAUCCCAAGCAUGCCACCCGGAGAGGCGGAGGCACCAUGUUGCAUGUCCUUGAGAAAUUUCCACUUGCUCGCGAUAGGUUUUUUGGGUGUCACCUCCACCGUCCAAACAGCUAUGUAUAGAAUUCAACGCUACAGGGGCACGGAUCACGCGUGCGGCGCAGAAAUUAGAACACACGCGCACGCGCUAGGAUAUGGGACAAGGGGGGCCGCGUGGAAUAUGCAACUGAUGUCGAGUGUCACCGUCGUCUCGCGCCUAAACAAAUCCUGUUUUCCUCUCAGGGGUCACGGUCGCCAUGGCCAAAGAACAAAUCGUUAGGUUCAGUGCGGGCUUUCGUAACGACUUCUGUAGUUUUUCUGUUUUACGAAUUAAACAAGGCGAGGACAGAAAUAUGGACACAGUGCAUCACAUUUGGGUGAUUAGUCAUAGAACACGUGCGGCACGCACGUGUUUUCAAAAACUUACUUCCUCCGUCUUAAAUUACUAUUCGUUUUGGUUUUUUUAGAUUUCUAAUUUUUGCUACGUAUUUAGAUAUACAUAUAUCUAAGUUCAUAAAAAAACUAUGUAUCUACAAAUGCUAAAAUGAAUAUUAAUUUGGAAUCGGAGGGAGUAGUAAAUAAGAAUUAUAUAUUUAUAGAAAAUCUAACGAACAAUAAUUUAUGUUUUGUAUCGAACAUGUAUAGCUUCACGGAAGUAUAAAGAACGAGAUCAAGUAUUACUGUUCAUUACUAUCUCCAGCAAGUUUUGUUGUGACUCGUCAAUCUCAAAGAUCAUUACAAAAGAAAAAAAAUUCCCAACAACGUACAAAAUUCACUUGUGAAAUUUUUUUCAAGUAUUUACCAUAGAAAACUGGGAUAAAAAAAAGUCAAAACUGAUAUAGCAAAAGGUUCUUAUGUGGCUUUUCAGAACUGCUCACAAUAAUUUACUUUAACAUUGUUUUGAAAUGCUUUGUAUCUUAGAUAAUGAAGCCUGUGUAGCACUCAUGAGCUUGAAAUAAAAAGAAGUAAAUAACACACACCCCAAUUAUCUAACAAAGAGAAGCCAUUGUCUGUAUCCCUGUCUCCCCUUAUCUUGAUGCUUAACAAGGAGGAUGAUCACUCAUUGCAAUUGUGCCCAACUCAUUGGGGAACUAUGAAGAGCAACCUUAUUCCUAGCAAUGUUACAGCAGCAAGUUAUAUCCUUGAGUCAAACUAGUUAGUUGAUUUUGCUAUAUCUUCAUGGAGCAUCACAACAUGCUCUGCCGCUGUGCCUUCACGGCUUCACCCUCGCCCCACCCUAACCGCUCCUCCAGUCCUAACUGUUCCUGCCGCCGGAUCCACUCUUCUGCAUACCUAAGUUUAUCAUCUCGGGGCAUGAGGAAAUUAUUUAUGCACUGAUUGGUGAAAUAAAAUGUACAUUCACAUAUCGACAGGUACUACGUAUGAUCUAUUUUACAAGUCAGUGAUGGUUAUUAGUGAAACUAAAACGUAAUCAGUGCGAUCAGUAGAUCACUGAUCGAGACGAAUUAUGUGCUGCAUGUCAUUUGAUGAUCAAGUGAUUCAGUCUGCUUUUGGGAUGGUGAAUUUUCAGGUGGCCUGACGCAGAUGCACUCGUUCCUGGAGGCCUUCUUCCCGGACAUCAUCGAGAAGAUGAACAACGCGACGCAGGACGAGUACUGCAUCUUCAACAGCCAGGUGCUCACCACCUUCGUCUCCUCGCUCUACUUGGCAGGCAUGCUGGCCUGCCUGGUCGCCGGCCACAUCACCAAGAGGAUCGGGCGGCGCAACUCCAUGCUCAUCGGCGCCUCGUUCUUCUUCGUGGGCGCCGUCCUCAACUGCGCCGCCGUCAACAUCGCCAUGCUGAUCGUCGGCCGCGUCCUCCUCGGCUUCGCCGUCGGGUUCACCAACCAGUCCGCGCCGGUGUACCUGGCGGAGAUCGCGCCGGCGCGGUGGCGCGGCGCCUUCACCAGCAUCUUCCACUUCUUCCUCAACAUCGGCAUGUUCGUCGCCGACCUCGUCAACUACCGCGCCAACACCAUCCCGGUGUGGGGCUGGCGCCUGUCCCUCGGCGUCGGCAUCGUCCCGGCUAUCGUCAUCCUGCUCGGCGCGGCGUUCAUCCCGGACUCGCCCAACAGCCUGGUGCUCCGCGGGAAGGUGGACGCCGCCCGCGCCUCGCUGCGGCGCAUCCGCGGCGAGUCCGCCGACGUGGACGUGGAGCUCAAGGACAUCAUGCAGGCGGCGGAGGAGGACCGGCGGUACGAGUCCGGCGCGUUCCGGCGGAUCGUCCACCGCGAGUACCGGCCCCACCUCGUGAUGGCCAUCGCCAUCCCGGUGUUCUUCGAGCUGACGGGCAUGAUCGUGGUGACCCUCUUCACGCCGCUCCUCUUCUACACCAUCGGGUUCACGAGCCAGAAGGCCAUCCUGGGAUCCAUCAUCACCGACGUGGUCAGCCUGGCGUCCAUUGCCGUCGCCGCCAUGGCCGUGGACCGGGUGGGCCGGCGGUCGCUCUUCAUGGUGGGCGGUGGGAUCCUGCUGGUGUGCCUGGUGGGCAUGUCGUGGAUCUUCGGCGCGGAGCUGGGCGCCGACGGCGGGAAGGCGAUGCCGCGGCCGUACGCGGUGGCGGUGGUGGCUCUGGUUUGCCUGUUCACGGCGGGGUUCGGGGUGUCGUGGGGGCCGCUCAAGUGGAUCAUCCCCAGCGAGAUCUACCCGCUGGAGGUGAGGUCGGCGGGGCAGGGGAUGAGCGAGGCCAUCUCGCUCGCGCUCACCUUCGCGCAGACGCAGUCCUUCCUCAACAUGCUCUGCAGCUUCAAGUACGGAACCUUCGCGUACAACGCCGGCUGGGUCGUGGUCAUGACGGCCUUCAUCUUCUUCUUCCUGCCGGAGACCAAGGGCGUGCCCAUCGAGGCCCUCCGCGAGGUGUGGGCGCGCCACUGGUAUUGGAAGCGCUUCGUCAAGCCGCUGCCCGCCGCGGCGCCGGAGACGCCGUCAGCAGCGCCCAAGGUGGCGGAUGGGCCGGUUUAGAUUUCGCUUAUAAUCUCUUAACGCGUUGGUUGGUGGUACUGGGUGGGCCGGUCCGUGCGUCAAUCGGCGGAAAGUGGCCAUGCUCAAAAGCGAGACAACAAGGCCCCUCGAACAUUCCGGGCCAAGAUACCGUAGCAACAGGGCUAUCGUUCUACGGUUCUAGUGUCUGCUAGUUUGAAACGGUAGUAGAAUUAGUACAUUCCACGUUGGUACAGUAGUACUUAGGAAAAUUUGUAACCAUGUCGAUGUAGUGGUAGUGGGAUACCGUAAUGUACGCAAGCUGUGCUUAUUCAAUGUGCAAUCUUCUUUGUAAAAUUAUCCUAACUUCCUAAGACACGAUAUGCUUUCGAAGGCCUAGAACUGGCGGAGUUGUUUCACUAAAGUCUAAACCACUACUUAUGGCAUUUCUAGGACACCAUUUUAGACUAAAAGUUUCAUGUAUUACAUCGUGAACACUGCCAGUGUAAAUGAAAACUCUCAUUGAGUUGCUAGUCUUUUCUUGCAAUUUUCCAAAUUUUCAUAAAUGAUUCACAUGUAAAGUGGUUCAAUUUUGAUAGUAAUAAAUAGAAACCCUUGCAUUUCUAACAAGGCCUUAGACUGUUCAAAACAUGCGUGCUUGACCUAAUAACUUAACCGAACCGAUUGAUAAAUCGAGAGCCAAAUGAUAUAUCCGUUAAAAGGCUUUGUAAUGUUCAAAUUUGAGCCUGAGGAAACAAUCAAAAUUAAGCUCAACUCCUAUACAUGAUAGUUCCUCGUUCAUCCUAGCAAACAUAUGAUCUUGUGCCAACUUGUAUCAUUCUGUCCAUUCCGCCAAACACAGGCUUAAACAAUUCUACUCAACCAACCAAUACCAUCUAGGAUCUUCACAGCGAGGCAAACCAUCCAAUCCAUGUUCAACAUCAUACAACCAAGCAAACACAAGCAUGAGGUGCUAGAAUUAGGGUUUCCAACCUUUUCUUGCCCCCAGCCAAAAUUUGUGAAUUUUGGCAUUUUGGUUCAGAAUUUUGAAGGUUUGCUCAAAUUCUAAAUUUUAAUUUUUUUAAUCUUUAUUAGGCAUGCUAUUGAAUCCAUAUGCUUGUUAUGAUCCAUUGUUGCCUUGUGAUUUGGCUCCUAUACCGCACCAAGGAAGAGUCAUGCUUCAAAAGCCAAUUUUGUAGUCACAUGAAGUGGUGGAUUCCCCCGAUAUGAAUUUUUAUAUAGGCUACAUAAGGAUAAUGAAAUUAAAGCUACCAGUUUUUUUUUACCGAUACUAUUCUUUAUUAAUCGAAGAAAAACACAGAACAUGUGAAAUGGUGGACCUCACUCACAUGAAUUUGCGUAGCCUAUAUAAUGAUACUAAAAUUAAAAAUUACAAAAAAAAUCGAUAUUAUUUUUCAUUCAUCGGGCGAAACACAAAAAAAAAAUCAUGAAAUUUCCCCAAAGUUUUGAAUCUAGUUAGAACACAACGAAAAGUAUUUGCAGGUUGCAAAUGAAACGCACCCGAGAGCCUUAUAAUUUGUCCAUAACUCUAUUUGCAUGAUUUACAUUUUAAGCAAGUCAAUUCUAAUAAUAGUAAAGAAAUACGCACAUUUCAAGCGAGGCCUUAGAAUAUCGAGGACAAGCGUGUAUGACCGUGCAACUUACCAACCUGUUGAUAUGUAAGAGAAUGGACACAUCAACUUACCCGAUUUUAAUGAAUAAUCUUACGUAUAUAGUGUGGUCCGUUUCAUCAUCUUUAUGUUGGCUUCUGUAGUCUCUGGUCUGUUUGGCAACAAGGUGUUAAAGUUUAACACCCGUCACAUCGGAUGUUUGGAUGUUAAUUAGGAGUAUUAAACAUAGGCUAAUUACAAAACUAAUUGCACAGAUGGAGUGUAAUUCGCGAGACGAAUCUAUUAAGCUUAAUUAGUCCAUGAUUUGACAAUGUGGUGCUACAGUAACCAUUUGCUAAUGAUGGAUUAAUUAGGCUUAAUAGAUUAAUCUCACGAAUUAACAUAGAGUUCUGCAAUUAGUUUUAUAAUUAGCUCAUAUUUAGUUCUCCUAAUUAGCAUUCGAACAUCCGAUGUGAUACUGUUAAAGUUUAACACCUCGUAUCCAAACAGCCCCCGUUAACUGGACAACAACUAUCGACGAUAGCAAGGGCCAUGCAUCAUUCUUCAAGCACGCUACGCUUUGUCAGGGAAAAAAAAAGGUCGUGCCGCGCUACACAGCCAAAAGCUGUGUUCAAACUAGUACUGUCCCCCCAAUCUGUCUCUGGCCGGCUUCGGUCCCUGUUGACUAUGAAUUUGCCAAGCCUACGGUUGUUCUCCCGACGUCAGACUACAAAAAAAAUCGAGCAACAGCGUUAAAAAAAAUGGAAUGAACUGCUCACCUACGCCUGUUUCAGGACAAUACGGUGGUUGCACUCUUCUCGCGCUAUAUACAAAUGACCACCGUUCUUGCUAUCAGUUGCAAGUGCACGCUUCUGAAGCACCAUAUCGAUCUCCUCCCCCCUGCAAGGCUGCAAGAGAUCGAUCGAGAAGAUGACCGGAGGGCGCGCUCUCGCCGUCGGCUCGGACGGCGGCGGCGGCGCGAUAACAUUCACGGUUGUGGUGAGCUGCCUCACCGCGGCCUCCGGCGGGCUCCUACUUGGAUACGACAUCAGUGUUACAGGUUAGUCCAGUGACCAGUGGUAUCUCAAGAUAUGCAUGCUGUGAUCAUCCUCUAGUACCAGCUCCGGUUAUUGCACUCUUUACACAUGUUUAGCUUGUUAUGGCUCGUUCUGUCCUUCGUUUCUUUUGUUUAGUUGUUUAGAUAUCAAGAUUUAUGAGCCGCGUUCACAUGUCAAAUUUCGAUAUGUUUACAUGGUUUCUCGGAGCAACUCCUGUAAACUCGGCAAGAACAUUGAGAGAAUUUAAUCGAAAAGUGAGAAGAUGAUUCGCCCAACUUUUCCGCCGGCAGUUCUCGGCCGGAGAGUUCCAGUCGAGAGGUCAGCUUGGUUCCAAGUCUGAAAACAUCACGCUGGAUCGAGUACAGGCGCUGGCGACUUUGCCCUUUCCACCCUUUUCUUUUUUAAAGAGUGAAACUAUUAUGAUUGACGGGGAACGCUUUUCGUUCUUUUUCUUCAGUAUAAGUAGUAAAGAACACUACAUGGAAAAAGAAGUCUUCCAAUACAUGCAGUCCAGAUAUGCAUUUUUUAUGUUGUUGAAACAACGAGAUAUUGUGUUGAAACUGUGAAUAAAUAUUUCAAGUUUUUUAUGAUGCAUGCAUGCAUUUGUAUUGAGCAAGUAUGCAGCUUUCAGCAUCUCCCGUACUUAAACAAAUGCAUCACUGACUCACAAGUCGCUGUCUCACAAUAAAUUGCUAUGAAAGAUGCCUCUAAGCAAUUUUGAACCAUUGGAUCGGAUGCCAAAGUCGCUCAAAUAGAUUUCAAUCUGAUCUGACCCGUGCUCUUGCACGGGCUAGAAUUUUUCGAGAGACAUGGGUAUCAAAUUCAAAAAAAUUAGAGCCCAUAGCUAACUAUUAAAAUUUUACUUUACUCUCUCUUGUUUGAUUAAAUAUUAUUACACAAUACUCAUAUAGAUACAUACUCAUCCUAGUGUGAACAUGCAUGCUUAACUCGUUAAUGUGGCCUUUAUGGAAAUUAGACAUUUCUAGGAGUAUAAUCUCGAUAUUUUUUUAGAUUCUUCUAACAGGAUUGCUAUGAGAGAUUAAACAUUGUCAUACGAAUUUUGCUAUUGGCAAAUAAAUAAAUGCAACACGAUAAUAAGUCUAAUCCAAUCAUUUGGACAAGCUUGACCCGUCUAGGUUGUCCUGUGGACUGUGCUAAAGCUACAUUCGGCAAAACAUGUUAAUUUGGUUAAGGAUGUGUAUGUUGGGGGGAGGGGGUUGCAACAUAACUGAGUAAGGGGGGUGAAUUUGUAAUGAAAUGAUUUGGGGGGAUGUAAAAACUUAGUGACCUACAAUUUUACCUUGCAGAUAAACUUUGUACCUUGCACAUGUCUAGGCUUGCUUGCUCAUACGUGUACAGUUUAAAGCUUUUAACAGUUUGGGCCAAAAGUUAUUAUCAAGUUUUUACAUUUUCAAAUAUCUUCAAUUAAAUUACAGGAUUUUUUUUCAGGAGGAUUGAUGCAGAUGGAAUCAUUCCUCCAGGCGUUCUUCCCGGAGAUCCUCCGGAAGACGAACAACGCGCAGCAGGACGCGUACUGCAUCUUUAAAAACCAGACGCUCACCAUGUUCGUCUCCUCGUUAUACCUCGCCGGCAUAAUCUCCUCUCUGGUCUCCGGCCACCUGACCAGGACGGUGGGCCGGAGGAACUCCAUGCUGAUCGGCGGCUUGCUGUUCUUGGCCGGCGUCGUGCUCAAUUUCACUGCCGUCAACAUCAGCAUGCUCGUCAUCGGCCGCGUCCUCCUCGGCCUCGCCAUCGGCUUCACCAGCCUGGUGAUCACUGCUCGGCCAAUGCCCACAUUCUGGUCGUAACUCGUAAGGACUGAACGUGCAUUGUGAAUUUUUAACACAGUGGUUUGCUCUUGCGUUCCGUUGGUUGCAGUCAGCGCCGGUGUACCUGGCGGAGAUAGCGCCGGCACGGUGGCGAGGUGCGUUCACCACCUGCUUCCACUUCUUCUUCAACUUGGGCAUGUUCAUGGCGGACAUGGUAAACUACGGCACCAACAGCAUCCCGAGGUGGGGGUGGCGCCUCUCGCUCGGCGUCGGCGUCGUCCCUGCCGCUGUCAUCAUCGCCGGCGCGGCGCUCAUCCCCGACACGCCCAACAGCCUGGUGCUGCGUGGGAGGCUCGACGAGGCCCGCGCCUCGCUGCGGCGCAUCCGCGGGGCGGCGGCGGACGUCGACGCGGAGCUCAAGGACAUCGCCAGCGCCGUGGAGCAGGACCGCAGGCACGAGUCCGGCGCGUUCCGGCGCCUGUUCUGCUGGCGCGAGUACCGCCCCCACCUCGCCAUCGCCGUGGCGACGCCUGUGUUCUUCGACCUGACGGGCAUGAUCGUGGUGUCCAUCUUCACGCCGCUCCUCUUCUACACCGUCGGGUUCACGAACCAGAAGGCCAUCCUGGGCUCCAUCAUCACCGACGUGGUCAGCCUCGCGUCCAUCGCCGUCGCCGGGCUGGCCGUCGACCGCUACGGCCGCCGGUCCCUCCUCAUGGUAGGCAGCGCCGUGCUGAUCCUCUCCCAGGUGGCCAUGGCGUGGAUCUUCGGCGCGCAGCUGGGGACCGACGGUGGGAAGUCCAUGCCCGGCGGGUACGCGGCGGCGGUGGUGGCGCUGGUGUGCGUGUACACGGCCGGGUUCGGCGUGUCGUGGGGCCCGCUCAAGUGGGUGGUAACGAGCGAGAUCUUCCCGCUGGAGGUGAGGCCGGCGGCGCUGGGCCUGGGCGGCGCCAUCUCGGGGGUGCUGGUCUUCGUGCAGUCGCAGUCGUUCCUGGAGAUGCUGUGCAGCUUCAAGUACGGCACCUUCUUGUUCUACGCCGGGUGGGUGGUCGUCAUGGUGGCGUGCGUUGCCGCGUUCCUGCCGGAGACCCGGGGAGUGCCCAUCGAGUCCAUGGGUGCGGUGUGGGAGAAGCAUUGGUACUGGAAGCGCUUCGUCAGGCCAUCUUCCGCGCCGGCGACGGCAACAGCCAAGCAGGCGGAUGGGUCGGCUUGAGUUGGGUUCACCGUUCACCGCUUCACCUAGUCCUGGCCUACUGGGCCAUACUCCGCCCAAAUGCAGUGCGAGUUUUGGCGUGAAGUUGUCCUGCCUGCGUCAGUCGUAGCUUGAUGGGGGCAAAUCAUGGCCCUUUUGCUACUUCCUCUGUUAUAAAUUAUAAGUAGUUUUAGCUUAAAUGGAGGGAGUACAUGAAUACUAGGGUAACAUAUCUUAUCCAUUCGUGAGGUAUGAAAUUCCCUUUGUUUGUAGCAUUUUCUGUGGGAACUGAGAGCAUAUUUGGCACAACUCCAGCUCUGAUAUUUAGAUUGGAUCUGUAGUUUGCACAUUAAAAAUAAAGUGAUUAAAUAUUUGCAUUUAGCCUAAAAUAUGAAUAAGAUGAUCCAUCUAAAUGUUCUUAGUAUACCUUGUAUAACUAGAGCUUUGCCAAACGGGAUAUGAGAUAUAGCUAUUGUGGGGAUCCAGAUGGGCCCUUCUAUCUCCAACAAGAUGGGUCGGGCUGGCUAUAUUUAGGAGAGUGGCAAACGUUGUGUAUCACAAGGCAUCCAGAAGAUACCGAAGAUUAAGAAUAGAUUCUAGUAAGCUAAAAUAGAAAAUCAUGUUGUUGCAAUCUGAUCAGAUCAUUUGCCUUAUAAUCGACUAGGAUCCACCGACUUAUACCCAGGGCUAUGUAAGGUAAAUAAGAAGCCCCUCCAAAGUCCAAAGUCCUGUACAACAAUCAAUACAAUCCACCCGAACGCAAAACGUAGAGUAUUAUGUCGUCCCGAACCUAUCUAAACAUAUGCUCUUGCAUUAGCAAUUUAGCACCAAGUCUGUCUAGUGGCUUGGAAACAGGCUUGCCGAAGUAAGGAAGGAGGACUUGGCAUCAUCAAUUUGAGAUGAGAACUCAUAACUCUGCUUUGCUGCUUAAAAUUUUAUAAAAUUUUUAUAACAAAGUUGAUUUACUUUGGGUUCAUCUCACCUGGAAAUGUCUUUAUAAAAAUGAAGUACCACCUCAUGAAAGGAAGAAUGCUGGAUCCUACUGGUGGAGAGAUAUAAUGUCUCUAUCUCAAAACUUCUUCAUGAUGGCAAGUUGCAAUGCUCACAAGGGUGAAUCUGUAGCUUUUUUCUCGAAUGACCUAAGGAAAUUUGGCAUCGGUGGGAGAUAAGAUAAAUAUUUGAUUGAGUAGUCUCUUUUAGUUUUCUCCCCCCCCUUUUCCUCUUCGAGCCUUGGACUUUGUAUCAUGCAAAGGAAGUUCCGGGUUUGAAGGGGAUUGACAUCAUUAAGAGGAGGGUGUGAGGUCCCAGCCUCUGUCUCUAUUUGCAUUGCCUACCGACUGCUGCUGUGCCCCACCCUCCCUGGCGUCAUGCCAUCGUUGGCACAUGGCUCUACUUGGUUGACUGCAAGGAGGCACUCGCCUCCCUAUUUCCUUUCCCCUUCCUCCUCUCUCCUUCACCCCUUAGGUUCAGGUGGCGGGUAGGGCGUGCAGCCUGAGGGAGCAGCUGCCCACUAGGGCGAGCGGCAGUAGUGCGUGGUGAGUGCGGGGAGGGUUGGCCACGCGAGUGACAGAGCGGUGGUGCGUGUCCCGCGCUACCGCCGGCAAGCGCGCUGUGUGGACGGGACAAAAGAACAGGAGCAAAGGCUGGAUCUCGGGUCCAUUGCAGUAAAGUUUGGCGACGUUUUUGCAAAAUCAUCAAGGCAUAUUCUAGGGACAAAAGAACAGGAGCAAAGGCUGGACCUCAGGUCAAUUACAGUAAAGUUUGGGGACCUUUUUGCAAAAUCGUCAAGACAUAUUCCAAGGAUUGCGGGUUGAUUAUGAAAAAGUUGAGGGACUUUUUUGCAAAACAAUCAUGACGGUUGGAAGAAACAACCGCACUUUAAUAUUAGGUAUAUAUAUAUACUGUUUUGCUAUAAUACACCUGCGUGCAUCCUGUACAUAGAAUGCACCCAGGCUGGCGAGCGCACCAGGUUGGAGCAACCAAACAUGCGGUGCAUGCUUCGUAAGUUAAUUUGUAUCUUCCACCUACCACGUAAAGCCACCUAGCAUACAAAUCCCACAGACUUCAUGCAUGCAUGUAAUUUUUUGUUGGUUCGAAUCUUUGAAAUAAAUUUUCUCCUAAACUGUAACCCCAAUUGACAAACCGUUCGUUGCAUCCGACUAAAAACAUAUUCUGAGCAUCCAAAAUGGAUAUAUUUUUAUCAUUUAAGCGAGUUGCAUAUCAAUGUACUACCAAUUGCAACUCUGUCUACUACCUAGUUGCAACUAGUUAUAACUCUGUGUAUUAUAUGCAUCUGGUCACUAUAAUCACGUCAAGUUGCAAUUCUAAGUUGCAAUCAUAUCUGAGUAGCAACCGUAUUGCAAUUGAGUAGUAACUAGUUGCAAUUAAUAGUAAUUGGGUUGCAAUCAGGUAGUAACUUGUUGCAACCACUAGUAAUUGUGUAGUAACAAGUUGCAACCAGUACUAACUAGGGUUGCAACUGUGUAGUAACGAGUUGCAACUAGGACUAACUAGGGUUGCAACUGGACAGGUGCAACUACCAACUAGGUUACAAGUGAGUACUAGCCAGCUACAAUUGAGUACUAACUGGUUGCAUUUUUAUUCAGUAGGAGUUGCAAGCAUACCUGGUUAGGUUGCAACUGACUAGUGAAUAAUUGCAACCAGAAGUAACAAGGUUACACUUGAUUAUAAUUAGUUGCAACCAAUGCUAAAUACGCUACAACCAAGUUGCAAUUAUGUUGUAGAAGUGCUUGCAACUCACAGUACAACAUAUUGCAGUUGCAAUUAUGUUGUAGAAGUGCUUGCAACUCACAGUACAACAUAUUGCAGUUACGUACUUGAAAAAAAAAAAUUCAUCAAAUACAGCCUUCAUGGAUCUCGUUUUGUUAAGCACUUUUUUCCAACAACCUACUUCAAACAGAUCAAAUCGGACCUAUGGUUUAGGAGAUAUUGCAUUUUUUCAUUUCGAAUCAACAAAAGAUUCCCUGCAUGCAUGCUUCCUGGUGGGUGGGUUGAGCUGUUAGGUGGCAUCACGUGGUUGGUUGUCUCCAUUUAGUUUUGCAUGCAUGAGCGUGGACUUACCUUGGCACCUGAAUUAGCUGGCGCACGAGACGUAGGGUAGGAGGUCUAUGCAUUUACUGUACAGAAUGCACCUGGGUGCAUAUAGAAUAGCUUAUGGGUAGGGGUAGGGGUCUCCCAUGCCAGUUUCUUAAAAACAAGUUCAUGUCCGACGAUCUUCCCUCCGAACAGUCUACCUCAUCGGAUACACCUCUUGGAAGACUUCCGAAAUAAACCUUGACACCUGCGAAACUAAAGAAAAAAUUAAAGAGAGGGGAAAAAAUAAAGUGGAGAGGCUGUUAUGAUCCCUUAGGUCUUUUAUAUAGGUAUAAAAAUUGACAAUAAAAUUUUCUCUUUGACAGUUAUAUAACUUUUUGUAUAAGGACUAUCGAACUAUCGACUGAGUUUGGUUUUGGCCAUUCAACUUCAAAACCAGAAAUUUUUGACCACCCAACUAUCAAAACCAUUCACAUUUAGCCAUCUAGCUAUUUUGAUGGGUGAUUUUGCUGACAUGGACGACAUGUGGUAGUGAGACCCACGUGUCAGCUCCUUUCUUCUCUCUCCUCUCUCCUUUUUCUUUCUUCUCUGUCUCAGCCCCUUACUUAUUUUUCAUAUAUAACAAGAAUAGAAUGUGUACAACGGUUUUACAUAGCGUAAAGCUCAGAAAGAAAAAAAAGGAAAGGGAAAUUGCCAGAAGCUACUCAACCAAUUAUAUAGAGAAAGCUUAAUUGUCGGUUUGGCUCGGAGGAUAACUGGAGCCAACUCCUCUAAGAAGGUAGCCCUCCAUCUUGCCAUGGAGAGACUUCUAUUGUAAAAAAUGAUGACGUCGUGAGGGCACUAGAUGCACUAGCAAGCAUAAGAGAUUCUUUAAAAUCUACCGAUAAAAUAACACAUGUGUAGUCAUCCAAAUACAUGUCUCUCGUUCUCAAAAGAUUUCUGGUGUUUAGGCAGUCAUGGUAACAAGCAAUAUUAUAUCUAGAUUUUCUAGAAAAAAAUGUAUUUUGAAAGAAAUUUUUCAAUGAAAAGGGAAGGAUUGUUACAUUAAAUUAUGUAUAGAACUUACUAUAAACUAUAUUUUCACGAGAAAUGUUAUAUGUCAUUAAUACAAAUUUUUAGGAUAUCUUAUGUGCCAUUACUCGUAGUUUUAAAAAAAAUGCAUUUGUAUACAGAAAUUAUCACAAAAUCAGAAACAUCCAAACAUCAGUCCUAUAGACUGUAAUAAUCAAAUCUUUUGGUCGAUUAUAUUUUCUAAACAAUUACCUGCACUAUCAUUAUGUAAAUAUUUUAAAGUAAACCCCUAAAUCUAUAUCUAAAUUACCCACCUCUGCAUUAUAAAAAAUAAUCUAAAUUAAUUAUAUAAUCUUCAUCUAAAUUAUCCAUACAUGUCAUUAUAGAAAAUAACUUAAAAUACCUUUCUAAAUUAACCAUGUAUGUCGUUAUUAAAAAUAACCUAAAGUACACAUAUGCAAAAAUGUCAAAAAGUAAACUAACAUAUGAUUCUAAAUUAUCUAUUUAUGUUAUUAUUAAUAGAGGAGUACUAAGUUCAGUUAUAUAUGCAGUAUGUCUGUCAUCGUGUAGACCGUUUAUACAUGUAUGGGUGUCAUCGUGUAGACCGUUUAUACAUGUAUGGGAGGAAGCGAUGAAAAAUACUGAUUUUCAUUUUAAACACGAUGUAUGGAGAUGCGAUCUAAAGUGAAAAAGGUAUAAAUGUGGAUGAAAAAGUGUGUAUAGUAAUUAAUAAUUAAAAGCUUAUUACAACUGAACAAAGAUAAGUAGUUAAGUACACAUCUAUAUGAGUAUUGUGUCAAAAUAUUAAAUAAACGAGAGAGCCGUAGGUAAACAAUUUUGAUUAUUAGCUAAGGGUCUAUUUAUUAGCCUGUGCGGGAGCAUGGUUAAUGGACUAGUGCUAUAGUAAUAAUUAAGGAUUCAUAUCAUGUCUUUUGUUCAAGAGAAGAAAGAGAUGUCAAGCACUCAAGCCUACUACACUGAUGCAGCACAUGCUGUCAGCGACCAGUUCUUGUAACCAAGGAUUAACAUGCCACCUGCGGAAUCAUGACUUCUUUACUCGCUGUUCAAAUCAGCAGUUGAUGAUGAGUUGAUGACAGAUGGGCAAAGUCAGCCGCACAACUUGCUAAAUUAGUUAAAAGAUGGAGAAUUUCAAUGGGAAAGAUUCGUGUCUGUGUGUACACGUGGGUGUUCCGGGUUGGGGGUUUGACGUAAAACAGUGUGUAUUGGCACUUGGCAGUGAAGAAAGACAAAAGUAAUCUUACUAUAAAGAGUUCGCAAAAUCUAAAACGAGAGAGUUCUCGAUCUAAAUCGAGAGCCCUCCUGAUUUGGAAAGGAGGAAAGGGAUAGAAGGAACAAAAAUGCUAGAAAAGGAAACAAAAUGAGAAGUAACAAAUCGAUUCAAGUAAAUAACAAAAUCGAGUCACCAACUCCGGCGACCUCCUCCUCCUCUCCGGUGACGAAUCCAACUUCGGUGAGCUCCGAUUCAGGUUAGGGUUCGGGAUUCGGGGUUAGAGUUUCGUGAUUUGGGGUUAGGGAGGGGAUGAUUUGUGCCUUCGGUGUUAGAGGAUGGCUAGGGAGGCGGUCGGCUGACCGGCGGUGGUGGCGGGGUGUGGGAGGACAUCCAGUGGCCGAUGGUCGCGGUAAGACAAGGAAGAUGAGUGGUUAGAAAGGGUGGGGAAGAGGGUGGCGGCAGGAGGUGGGCGGAGCGGCACGAUGGCGACCCUGUCGUGCCGCAAGCGGUGGUGGAGGCUGAUGGUGUCGGGGUGGGAGGCUCACAAAUGGCAGCAAGGAGGAUGACGAGAAUGGUGGCGAGUCUCGUCAAAUCUAGAUAAAGGGGGAGGAUGGGAGAGGGAGGGGAGGGAGCAGGGUGGAUCUGCGAGAUGGACGAUGGCGGCACGGGCAGAGGAUGGUUGGCGGGCGGAGGGAGGCAGAGGUGCAUUUCUUUUUUUUUCUCCAUGGGCGCAAGCGGAUAAGGCCCGGGUGGGGCUGCGUGGGCUCUCGACCGAGCGUUAUCGGGAGAGCCCCCUCCCUGUAGCUGCCUGCUAAAGAGUUUCCCACCUCUCAUAGCUUUAUAGCUUUAGUAAAAAUAAAAUGUACGAGUAGUUCUUAAACUUAUUAUAGAGUAUCUUGCUUCAUAAACUUAUAAACUACACAUACGAGUUCAUGAGCUUGUCAAAAUGUAUCACCUACGUCCAAAGUGAUGUAAGAUACCUUAUGAUCUUGACUUGUCCAUAUGAAAUACCACAGAGUACUCUAAGGAUAUUUUAGGUAUUUUGGAUUUAUGACAUAUUUGCCCACCCCUCGUAGCUUUAAGGUUGGACCUACUUAGUACACAAUGGUGAAGAUUUAGCUGAACCACCACCACGCCGGAAGUUCACGAAUGCGAAAAUAUCAUGCCUUGUAAGGCUGAUAAAUGAGCCCUAAGGCCAAGUACUUACAACGACAACACAACACCCAAUGACAGUGAGAAAACAAAACCCACGCGGUGCAAGCAACCAACAAAGCAAACCACAACCGUACCCGCAGCAACCACCAGUGAAGUCCACCGCACACCAUGCGCGCUGUAGGAAUCUCUACUAAGACUCUGUUCCAAUCAGCAACAAUUCGACCCAGUCAUAUACGGCAUAAAACACAUACAUUAAUUCCAAUAAGAUUGCAAACUAGCUGGUUUAAUUAAUAACUGGAGGAUCACCAGUAGCAAGGUGUAACAUCAGGACGAUAAAUAACAUACAUCAGUACCUGACGACAAAUAACGUACUGUACAGGACGAUAAAAAACAUGGGAAUCACUGACGAUACACUUAGGUUUGGGUAGCUGGAUCUUGCACAAACAGACUACUUCACCCCCUCUUGCUUCAUUCACUAGUUGUCUUCGUUGUCAGUGACCUUCCAUGUACUAGUUGUAAUAACGACGAAUUGAUGCAUAACACCUUCUCAUGUCCAAAGCCAAGCUACGGUGCACUAGCAGCCAACAGGGGAAGGGGAUGUUCUUCCAACUUGAUGGAGUGACGACCUUGGGAUGGUAUCCAACAAUUCAACCGUUUCGGGUGCAUGAACUUCUGCGUGAUCAAACCCUAGCAUGAAACGAUAUGUACUACUAUUUGUUUUGACUUUUCUAGAUGCAUAAUUUUUUUAUAUGCAUCUAGAUAUAGUAUAUAUCUAGAUGCAUAGUAAAAAUUAUGUAUCUAGCAAAAAUUAAAACGAAAACUAUCUCCAUUCCAAAUUAUAGGUCGUUCCAAAUUAUAUCUCAUUCUGGAGAGAAGUAUUUUUUUCUUUAUGAAAUGGAGAGAAGUACUUGCCACUGUACUCUUCGUUCUGUAAGUGUCCUGUGGCACUGAGGCCUUCGCUGCUUACCAUCCAACCUCCUUGCUAGCAAGCAAAAGCUCCAGCUCCCCCUCUCCCUGCAAGAGAGAAGAUGGCCCGAGGGGACGUGCUCGCCGUCGGCGCCACCGCAGGGAGUGGCGAGAUAACGUUCACGGUUGUGAUGAGCUGCCUCACCGCCGCCUCCAGCGGCCUCCUGCUUGGAUACGACAUCAGUAUUACAGGUCAGUUCUGUGGUAUAUGUGCUGAAGAUGACGCGGUCGUCUUGUUGCUGGCUCCAGUUAUUAGGCUCAAACGCAUGAUACAUCUCAUUUUUUAACCCUGAAAAAACAUACGAUUUCAGCUGAGCGCACUACCAGUUGAGCUUCGGAUAAUAUGGUAGUCUAGUUAGAUUUGUGCUCAUUCGGACCUGAAACUUGAUAACCCAUCAGCAGAUCGGUGGUUGUUUCCCUGUCGCUUCCAUUUGCUCUUCUCCUUUGUAUUUUGUCUACUACAACGAUGACUUGUGAGCUGCAUGCAUGCGUUCAUAGUUAAAUGUUUUAUAAGUUUUUAGGAUUUCUCGGAGCAAGCUUCUGCAUAAAUCGAAGCGGAGUAAUGGUACCUCCGUGGAGAAAUAGAUCACAAACGGAAUGACGAAAACUCUACCAAGUUUUCCUCCACUGUUUUCCUAGAGAUCCAAUCGAGAGCGCAUGAACUUGUCACUGGAUUUGACACACCACAUUUGAUUGAGCAUGGGCAAUGCUUGGCGGCUUUCGCCCCCGGCCCACUUGUUUCUUUUUUCAAGAGUGAACUGCAAAUGGCAGGGAAAUGUUUGUCCUUUCCUCUCAAUAAAAAAUGCUACAGGAACAAAAAUAAAAAACAUUAGUGCAGGAUAUUUUCUUUGUAUUCUGAUUAUUUGCAUUCUUUACCUUUUUUAAGUAAUGGUUUGAAACCAAGAGAUGUUUUUGACAGUACAUGACAAAAUAGGACAUCAUGAGUAGAGAGUAGACUUUUAAUACUCCAUCCAUUUCGUCGUUUUGACUUUUCUAAGUAGUGUAUGUCUAGAUGCAUACAAACAUCUGUAAAUAUAGAAAAGCUAAAACGAACAACAAUUUGGGAUGGAGGGAGUAUAAAAGAACUAUCAGAUGCACAAAGCCUAAUAUUAGAACUUUUAUCCAAAAAGAACCCACAAAACACCAGUUUGAUCUUGUAAACACUAAAAAAUGGUAUAGGUAUCAAGCAUAUAAUGAUAUAUGUUCCUUCAGUUGCCCAAGUGUGCGCAAAAUGGAAACUAACACGAGUUUGGACAUCCUUCAUUUAUGUUGCGAAAAAGCUGACGUAUUUGUUGAAACUAUAUGAACGAAAAAAAUCUAGUUUCUGACAUUUUCAGUAUCCUUAGUCAACAUAGAUGAUGAAUGCAUUGUGUUAAUCUAACAUGGUAGAGGCAUCAAGCAUAUAUUAAUGAUGUACUCCCUUUGUCCUAAAAUACAAGUUAUUUUGGUUUGUUAUAAGUCAAACUACUCUAAAUUUGACCAAAUUUAUAAAAAAUAGCAAUAAUAUUUAGGAUGUCAAAUGAUCAUAAUUAGAUCUGGUAUGAAAUAUUUUCAUAAUUUACUUAUUGAUGUGUUAGAUGUUAAUAUUUUUCUCUAUAGAUUUAGUCAAAUUUAACCUAAUUUGACUUGGGACAAACCAAAAUAUCUUGUAUUUCGGGACGGAGUACGUUCCUUCGGUUGCCCAAGUGAGCGCAAAAUGGAAACGUUCGGAUAUGCUUCAUUUAUGUUGCCAAAAAGCUGAUGUAUUUGUUGAAACUAUAUGAGUGAAAAAAGUUCGAGUUUCUGACAUUAUCAGUAUCAUUAGUCAACAAAGAUGAUGCAUGCAUUAUGUUAAGCCGACAACAACCGGUGUGGAAAAUGCAAGCAUGCACCUGUCAGUGUUUCCUAAUAGAAAAACGUAUCUUUGACUUCCAAACAGAGCACAUGCAUCGUUUGGGCACACGCACAAGCACACGUAGCCAUGGCAGUCCCACAGUGUAUCCUUUGUCAUGUUGGUGUAAAAUGUUUUUAAUUUUGAAAGAUAUUGGAACCAUCGGAUCAAUGCCAAAGUCACUCUCACAUAUCGUGAAGCUAAUCUAAAUUUUAAAUUACACAAGUAGGAAAAACUGAUUGAAAUAAUAAUUAUUGUUACUGCACGGGCUAUAGUACUGGGAGACAUAAGUAUUAAAAGUUUCGCGGAUAGAUUUAGGUCCAUUGCUAAUUACUCUCUCCGUCCUUCAUCCUUUGGUGUUAGUUAACACAAAAAUGAAUGAAUCAUAUAAUAGAGAACGGAGGUAGUAGUAAUUUUAAUUUUACUAGUUGAUACUCCCUCCGUUCCAAAUUCUAGAUCGUUUUAGCUUUUUUAUGUUGAUAGAUAUUAUUAUGCAUCUAAAUAUAGUGUAUGUCUAGAUGCAUAAUAAUACCUAUAAACUUAGAAAAGUCAAAACGACCUACAAUUUGGAACGGAGGAAGUAUAAUUUUUCUCCUUAUGUUGAGCUGAAACGGUAGGCUUACUGUACCUCUUAUUAAAAACUCUCUUUCUCUGUUUUAUUAAAAAUAUAGAUUAUAUUUCCUAAACUGCACUCUUAAUUACUGCAAUGACGUAAUACAUUGCUAUUUCAGCCUCAAGAUGCUGAAUUUCGUCCCAAAAAAUAUGAGUGGGGAUUACAACAAAACUGUUAGUGAAUAUAUAUUUUAAUGUUUUGAGAAUAUAAAGAACUUAUCUAUUUUUCUAACGCGUCUUCUAAGGAUUAAUGUGGUGACAACAAAGGAGAGUCUUAUUCGAGCAAUGCAAGGGGUCGUUUGGGAGGCUCUCUCAAAACGGUUUCGCCUGUGAAGGUCUUUGAUGAUAUUCAUUGAAUACCAAUUACUUUUUCUACUCAAUAGUAUUUAAGGGCAUAAUCAAUAGUGUUCAAACAGUCAUUUGUUUACCUUUUGAAUUUUUGAAUACAUAUUGUUCAACUCUUGGGCCCGCAUCUGGCUUCACUCUAGUUGUAGUUCAUUUUUUCUAAGUUUGCAAACGGCUUAAUUUUACGCUACAAUGUCUCAAUUUGUGAAAAACAGGUGAAGCCGAAAGUCAAAAUAAACCCUCCAAAAUAGGCUCUAAUUGUAAGAUUAUUGUAUAAGGCUAGUCUUAGUGGGUGUCAUGAGGGGUUUCAUGGACAUUAAAUUGUAUGCCAUGUCAGCAGUUUUGCUGACUUGGCAACCUAAUUAUGAAGAGAGAGGAGAUGGGAGUUUUAUCCCCAUGAAACCCAACUGGUAUAGUUACCAAGUCCAUGAAACCCAAUGAAACUUGCACGGAGGAUGUUGUAGUUUCAUCACAUGACACAAUUGAUUAUAACUCCAUGCAGAAAUUAAAUAGCUUGCAUAUGAAACUGUGCAAUGAAAUUUUGCACUGAGAGUGACAGUUUCAUUUCAUUAAAAAGAUGAUAUGGUAAUCUUGGUAACUGAAACCAUGCACUGAGACUGAACUAAGAAUGCAUGCUACAAUUUUUGCAUUUCAAGCCAAAGUAAAUGAAGUGUGCGCGCGCGCGUGCCUGCGUGCGUGUGAUCCUGUGAUAUUAUAAGAUCAAACAAAUGUUAUCAGAGAUCGCCAUGAAACUGUUCGAUCCCAUGAUUUUAUCGAGUCUUUUAUCUUUUUUUUUCCUGCAAGUAGCUUCCUCCUUCCACCUAAAUUUCAGUGUUUUCUUUCGUGAGGGAAAUUUCAGGUGGAUUGACGCAGAUGAAAUCGUUCCUCCAGGCGUUCUUCCCGGAGAUCCUCAAGAAGAUGAACAACGCGCAGCAGGACGCGUACUGCAUCUUCGACAGCCAGGUGCUCACCACGUUCGUCUCUUCCUUCUUCCUCGCCGGCAUGCUCGCCUCCCUAGUCGCCGGCCACUUAACCAAGACGUUGGGCCGGAAGAACUCCAUGCUGAUCGGCGGCCUGCUGUUCUUGGCCGGCGCCCUCCUCAACUUCACCGCCGUCAACAUCAGCAUGCUCGUCAUCGGCCGCAUCCUCCUCGGUGUCGCGGUCGGCUUCACCAGCCUGGUGAUCACUGAUCUCGCGGGGCCAAUGCGUUACUUGCACAUGUGAAUAUGUGAUCGCGCGCGUGUUCUCACGUUGCAUUUUGGCCGCCGGCGGCGCCGGUGUACCUGGCCGAGAUCGCGCCGGCGCGGUGGCGAGGUGCCUUCACGACCGCCUUCCACUUCUUCACCAACGUAGGCAUGUUCCUUGCGGACAUGGUCAACUACGGCGCCAACACCAUCCCAAACUGGGGCUGGCGCCUCUUGCUCGGCGUCGGCAUCGUCCCGGCGGCCGUCAUCAUCGCCGGCGUGGCGCUCAUCCCGGACACGCCUAACAGCCUUGUGCUCCCGGGGAUGCUCGACGAGGCCCGCGCUUCGCUGCGCCGCGUCCGCGGGGCGGCUGCCGACACCGACGCGGAGCUCAAGGACAUCGUCCGCGCCGCGGAGCAGGAGCGGCGGCACGGGUCCGGGGCGCUCCGGCGCCUGUGCCGGCGCGAGUACCGCCCCCACCUGGUGAUGGCCGUGGCCACGUCAGUGUUCUUCGAGCUGACGGGCGUGAUCGUGGUGUCCGUCUUCACGCCGCUCCUCUUCUACACCGUCGGGUUCACGAGCCAGAAGGCCAUCCUGGGCUCCAUCAUCACCGACGCCGUCAGCCUGGCCUCCAUCGCCGUGGCCGCGCUGACCGUCGACCGCUACGGCCCCGCACCCUCCUCAUGCUGGGCGGCGCCGUACUAAUCCUCUCCCAGGUGGCCAUGGCGUGGAUCUUCGGCGCGCAGCUGGGGGCCGACGGGGCAAAGGCCAUGCCACGGGGUUACGCGGCGGCGGUGGUGGCGCUAGUGUGCGUGUACACGGCCGGGUUCGGCGUGUCGUGGGGCCCGCUGUCGUGGGUGGUCACCAGCGAGAUCUUCCCGCUCGAGGUGAGGCCCGCGGCGAUGGGCCUGGGCGGCGCCAUCUCGGCCGCGCUCACGUUCGCGCAGUCGCAGUCGUUCCUGGAGAUGCUGUGCAGUUUCAAGUACGGCACCUUCUUGUUCUAUGCCGGGUGGGUCGUGGUCAUGACCGUGUUCGUGGCGGCGUUCCUGCCGGAGACCCGGGGCGUUCCCAUCGAGUCCAUGGGCGCCGCGUGGCAGCGGCACUGGUACUGGAAGCGCUUCGUCACGCCGGCGGCGCCCGCGUCAGCACCCGCCAACAAAUGGGCGGAUGGGCCGGUUUGAGCUGGGUUUUAGACGGCCCACAUCGAAAUCAAAGAUAUUACUCUUUUGGCCAUUUAUUUGGCAUGCAUUCUCUUUUUUGUCCGAGUAAUUUGACAUAUAUUCUUCAUAUUGUACUAAGAACAUAAACUUAGUGCUAGUUUGAUCAACUCUAUCAAAUAUUCAUAAGAUGGCCGCAAUGAUAGGUAGAUAAUCAAACAAAUAUGCAAGCAAGGCAAAUAAAAUAGCCAACAAAUUCUUGAUGCCUAGCCAAACUCAAGGAACAGUUCACUUUGUCUAUUUCCUCGGCUUAAACAAAAUUUUGGCUUGUGUUACACUGUGUGCUCCUAUUUAGAAUGCCCAACGUACCCAUUGAUGGUAUUUAUCUUUAUUGUUUCAACUCAUGUACUUAGAAUAUAGGUUCAAAAUUGCAAGGAAAUUCCCUUUGGGUAUAAAAAAUACAUGAAAAGAAUUUUAAAUUAUUUUCUAGCAUGGGUAACGGUGUUAUCUACAAUAUGAUACCUUAGAUCUUAAAUUCAACUUGUGCCGAGUAAAAAAUAUCUUUAGGACAGACUUUUUUGAAGCGGGAUGAAAUUAAUCCAAGUAGUUUAGAGGAGCAAAAUGAACCGAAAUUAAGUUCUGAGGCAGCAAAAUGAACUUUAUUUCAAUAUUUUUCAUGUAGCUCCGUGCUAAAUUGCUAGAUUUGCCAGAAUUGCGUUGUAGCUGAAGUUAAUUGACUGACAAUUGAGCAUCGACCAUGCUAUCCAGAACUGUUUCCCUUGAGCAUCUGACUUCAGGAUGGUAGAACAGCUAUACUAGCGUAAGAUGCAACCUUGUCCUGCAGUUGCAAUCCGCGCGAAUCCGACAGAAAUAGCACCAAAACAACGAGGAAACUGCACAAGGCAGAUCAAGAAAAUGAAGCAACAACAUCAUAUUUACAUCCACCAAACUACGACCUUCUCAGAUAACCUGAGCUAACACACUCAUCUAGCCAUCUUUCUAAGCUUAACAUCAAUCAUUAUUUCACGACCAGAUCCACAUUGCAUAGUACACAAGGAUGGCGUUCUUCUGCCUGCACAGCAUCAGCAGGAAGUACUGCAUCUGGGCAAAGCAGACGCCGAAGUUCAGAAUCAUAGUCAAAACCUGUCCAGCCGAGUGAAACUUCCUACCAGGGAUGGUCCAGAAGAAUGAACCCCACGACCAGCUGAGGCCGCAGGAGACAACACAAGUCAGUGCGAACAUGGCAGUCGUGCAACCCAUCGGCAUGCGAAUUCCACCGCCAACUCCGAUCUGAACCUCCAGGAUCAAUGGGAUUGCCACCUUGCAGACAGAAUUUCAACAAUGAACAAUGUCAGUUAUGUUAGAUGUUGUGUUGAAUAUUUGUACGAGUCCGGUUACUUGCUGGUCAUUAUGGCUAUGCAGCAAUGAUAUUAUCUUUGGGAAUAAACAUAACACAGCUAUGCAGAAAUAAUAUUAUCUUUGGGAAUAAAGAUAACACUUUUCCACUGCAGGUUAUCUACUCGAUUAUACACCGACUCCGUGCAUGGGGUAUAUUACAGAAGCCGGCCUCACAGGAUUUGGUUGAUGCGGCUUCGCUACGUUUGGCACAGGUGGUCAAGAAGUUCUUUACUCUGGCACAUGGGUAGCGGUCUAAUCUAUGGAUUGAUUGCCAUUGAAGUGCUUGGGUCUCUUCUUAUCAAGAAGUGUGCAUCCUGCUAUGCAGAGGUCGGGAGUAUUUCAAGAUAUUGUAUCAACUCGAUGUAAUGCCCUUGAAAUUUAAUAAAACUUCCUUUAUCGAAAAAAAUUUCAAGGCAGUAGAAAGACAGACAGUUAAAUUUUGAGUCUUAGUUCGUUUUUCAGUUACCUGGCAAAAUACCAUCAGAACAGCACCCAUGGUGAACGUCACCUCCCUGCCAUAAUGUUUUGUUGCAAGGGCAGAUCCAAGAACGCCACAGGAGUUCACCAAAACCAGCACAAUGUUACCAAUCACCGCUCGGCUGCUCCUGGAACUUGUGGCUCGGGACAGCAUCGGCAAGAACAGAGUGGUAACAUUCACUCUGGUUAGCUGCAGGAAGAGUUGCAAGGCCACCAGCACCAUCAUGCAUGCCAGGUAAUGCUCAUUCCUCGCCAUGAUUCUCCAAAACGUGCUUGCAUCGUAACCACUCUGUAUGCGCUGCCUGUUAAAGCUAAGCUUCUUUUUUGUUACAUCAACAACCUUCAGACUGGAAGGGUAGCAUAUGCAUUGAAGCGCUAGGCGGACAUAGUCUCUCUUGUUUCCAAACAAACUCGACAAGAAUGGCUGCUCAUUGCACAAUUCAUUAUUCUCCAUACCCAUUGCUGAUUCACCCUGGAAGUUAGGAUUAUGUCCAAGGAUGAAUUUCUGCCCAUAAAGAUGGUUGUGGAUCAUAGUGCAAUCACAGAGCCUGGCCAUCAGAACAUCAACGCCGACCAAGAAUGGCAAGGAGUCGCACCAACAAUAUAGUGACCUUAUGGCACGGGAAAGCAAUGUGCGCUGCGUCCAGUAAGAUAUGUGUUAAUAGCAUGAUCAUGAUCAAAUACAAGUAAUUCGGAAUAUGAGAUAGCAUUCAGAUGUUGAUGACUAAGGUGUAAUAGCGCACAUGAACUCUGACAGUAGUUUAGUACAUUUAGCUACUAACCUGUACAACUGAAGUUUUGCUUAGUAACCACCUGAGAACAAGAGCUCCAUAGCUGACGGCAAUACUCCGAAUUGCGGUACCAGUACUGAAAAAGGUACGGUCUAUCAGCUGAACAGGAAGGUGCGUCAUCUUACGGGUGAUGUGGCUGCCAACCGUAGAAUUGUUUGAUGAUGUACCAAACAUAUCCACAUAUUUCCUGUACAGGGAAUGCAGCUCCAGCUUUGCUGCAGCAAUGUUAGGGAAGAAUGCCAUCAUAGAUGACUGCAUUUUUAAAACACCUGCAUUCCGAAGCAAAUUAUCAGGCCACACAGUGGUAACAACAUAAGUCUUUUUUUUAAAAAAAAAGGGUAACAACAUAAGUCAGCGUGAACGUUAUAAGAAUAGGAAAUCUCGAGUUCAAAUGUGUUUCGAACUUAAGCUGAUGACAUAGUUGACCUUAAUACCCUUUUAGAGACUGACUACCAGCUAGCCUCCACAAACUGCAUGGAGCUUCGAAAUUAUCUAAGCGAAAAACACCAAACACGGUUCUAGAUCUAGCAUGAUGAAAUGGAAAGCAGAUCAAGACAUCUCAAAGAAACUCAGCAGGCAACUCGAUCGGAUCCAGCAUAGUAAAAGGAAAACAUUGUAACUUGGAACAGGACAUUGCAAGGCCUAAACAGAUUCUGUUGAAUAUUCGCUGCACGUUAAGAAUUCGUCCAACAACCAUCAGUGCCCCGGGCCACUGAGCGUGGGCCCUACCGACAGUUAGGCUCAUGUGACGCUAUCGCAAAAGCUAGCGGCCGAGCGCGCACGUCUCCUUUUCUCAGCUGCAGCCUGCAGGGCCCGAGCAACACGAGCCACAAGUUGGAGAUUCCGAGCACCGUGCUGGCAUUUUCCUCUACCAUCUUCUGCGACGAUAUUUUUCAGAAAAAAAAAAUGGAUGCAGCAUGCUCCCAUGGACUUGGAUCAUGAGCUUGUCGUUUAUGAAAGUGACGGAUGGGUGCAGUCGCGUGUACAUGCAUCUCAAGGCACACUGUUCUAUACGACUUGUUUUAUACUCCUAGCUAGUGACUCGUAUGCGUCUUGUCAUGGUAGGAGAAAACGAUGAGUCUAAAAAGUGAGGCAGGCAGAGGUCGCUGACGGCACGAGUCAAUGAGGUUUCAGGAGAAGAAUCUAGUAGAGCCUACAUGCAAUUUUAUGAAGAAAGAUUAGCAAAUGAAUAAAAUUUGCUGGACGUAUGAAAGAUUAACACUGACGUUUUCAUCCGAUCCUAAGAUAGCAUUGCAAGACCUGAAUUCUGCUGAAGCAUCAGGAUGCAAAAGCCCAAACUGAGGAAGCCAACUCAUGGCUUCACUCGUGGAGACAGCCCCAUUCCUCUUCUAGGCCGUUCGUUGAUCGACGGCGAUGCGUGCUAGCACCCGGCUUUUCCAACUCGCUUUCCAGACGUGACCUCACGAGCCUAACCUCUUUUGUCGUCGCGAGAGGAGGAUAGGGAUCAGGGCUGGAGGUGGGAAGGAAGAACUUCUGACCAGCUUGGAGUUUGCGGCGGGGAGUGUUCCAGAGAACCCCGCAAAAGCGCCCACUUGCCCUGCUCUUUUUCCGCGCGCGCCCUCUGCCCGUGGGGCCUGUCGGCGACUGACUCCUCACGCCGGCGGCGAGCUGUAGGGGCGGCCGGGGAAGCAGGAAGUGCCGCAAGUGGAUGGGAGCUGGUGCCGAUGAGCCUCCGAAUGCGUCGAAGGGACGGCGGACGGGCAGACAAAGGCGCUAGUUUAAUUUGCUUAGCCUGCAAGAAAGUGCUCAGAACUCAGAUCCAUUCCAGUGCUCGGAACCAGGAGGAGCGAGGGUCAGAAGGCGGAGGGAACGAGGCGCCACUUACCCCAGGUCACCGGCGCUUAUCUGGAGCUGAAGAAUGGGGAGGAUCACGAGGAGGAGAAGAGGAGGAGGAGGAGAAAGCGAGGGAGAGCGUGAGGGGCACCACCGAGACCCGAGAGAGACCGCGAACCUGUGCGCGUUAGUUUUCUCACGCCAGAUGGCCCCGCCCGCGCCCGGUAUUCUUUCUUCCUUCCUUUCUUCUAGUGGGGGAGGGGAGGGGAGGGGAACCGAAUCCUCGGGUGCUCUGGGUCUGUUCGGUGUGAUGUGAGCGGAGUGAGCGUUUCGAUGGGCGCGCCGGGGCAGUAACGCUGGCGUGCGUGGCCGAUGGGGGGACGAGGCGCCGGUGGCUGGGCGCCUACGUGUGGGCUUGCAUGUGUGUGGGUGUGGCACCGUGCGCGAGACCUCAGAGGGCGCAGGCUUUUCUCUUGCGUGGUCAGUGCACGACCGCGAGGUGGAGCGGAGACGCCUGCCGCUGCCCGCUGCCCUUGGACGGGGACGGGGACGGGCGACGGGCACGUGCGUUCGACACCUGCCAUACAACUCGGCGUAGACGGCGUCAUGGGCCGGAAUCAGGAAAUCCUGUUUUGGAGGCCCAACAAAGGAAGUAGCCCAGUACGUGUUAGAACUACACGCGCAAUUGCUCGGUCGGGGGUCCGUCCGUUCAAGCAAUAAAAAGCAUAUGCUAGAAACUCCAACGAUAGGCUUUCUAAUGGAACCUCAUGUCAAAAAUAGUAAAGUUCAAGUGCCACUUUUUUUGCACCGAUUAUGAUAUGCCAUGUAAAAAAGAAAAUGCAAGCUACAUUAACUUAUUAGCUGAAUCCAAGAGGUUCCAAGUAAGAGAAUGUAAAAAUCACCUUGGUGCAGAGGUGUGAGGUUAGAGCAUGAUUGGUUGCAAAGGAGUGAGGCAUAUAGGAUGGAGGGGUGGUACCGACCAGCGGAAGGGGGAUGGCCUGAUGUAGUUGGGUUAGUUUGGUUGCACAUUGCUGUCGUGUUGAAGAUUCAAGCUACUGUUUGGUUGAAUUGGAUGCACCGUUUUCGUGUAUGAGAUUGCACAAGAGUUCUUGUUUGGUAGGAUGAAUGGCAGAUGUUCAGAACACCCUAGGACCAUUUUGGCGAGAUUACCACCAAUGUUCAGUAGCAUGAGGAAUUGAUAUAUUCUUUUUAUCUUACAAAGAUAGUUGUUCAUAAAUUAUUUCCAAAGGAAACACAGUUCUAGAAUAAUAAAAAGCUCCACCACAAUGAUGAUAUGGAACCAACUGUAUGUGUUGACUGCCAUUUGUGGACCCAAAGAAGGAACUUGGACAUCUGCAUCACCAGUGAACUCAAGAAAAGAUGCAGUUGUCUCUUCUUUGGAAGUGAAACUCUUGUAGCAACAAUUUGGAUAACCAAUCACCUAUCGAUGGCAUGCGACCCAAUUUGCAUACACCCCAGGCUUCCUACCUCGAUAGACAACAUACCAAGCCAUUGUGCCUUAUAUUGAAAAGAAAACAUGAUUCAAUUGCAAGGCGUAUUAUGAUCAAAGAAAUUAUCGUAGAGUAAAGGUUGGCCUCAAUUUUUUUAUAUUUUUGCAUCAUCUCUUAACCUUAAGCUUGGAGCAUCGGUGACACAAUUUCAAAUAAUUCGCAAUAGAAAUAGGUACCAAGAAAGAGCAAACAUGCAACAUUAGUGGACAAAAAAAGAAAUAUGAACAGCAACACCAAAACAAGAAAGAACAAACAGGCAGCAUUACUGGACAAGAACAACAACACCAGAACAAAGAAUGUCCUAGUACCUCACAAGCUCAAGGUCAUCAGAUGUUACCCAGCAACAUCAUUGGGCAAAUAAUUGAAUCAUCACAGGCAUAUGGUCUUACCUUCAAUAAAAGGUCAUUGACAACCACCAAGAAACAACAAACAACCAAAUAGGUAGACAAGAAAUAGAAAUAUGAACAGCAACACCAGAUGGAAGAACGUCCCAAUACCUCACAAGCUCAAGGUCAUCAGAUGUUACCCGACAACAUCACGGGGCAAAAAAUUGAAUCAUCACAGGCAUAUGGUUUUACCUUCAGUAACAGGUCAUUGACAACCACCAAGAAAGAACAAACAAUCAGAACAAAGAUAGGAUAGGUCCAUCACAACCACAAGUUGUGUACACCUCACAGCUCCCUCCUCAUCACCUCCUGAAGGUGACACCAUGUGUCCUAUGCUACACAAAAAUAUAUGCAGCCUUGGACAUGCUUCAAAUGAUGUCUCUAUCAUCACCAUUAGUGGUUAGUGCUAACCCCAAAAGUCAGACUAUAGCAAAGACAAUUAGCAUGGCUACUAGCAAAAGCACAGAUGCCAAUCAAAUGGCAUCUAGGAGAAGUAGGCUUGGCUCAGGUAGGAUCCUGUGCCACAGGAUCCUAUGGGCUUCUAUCAUCUGAACAAAGCACAAACCUUUCUAGAUCAUCAGUCAAAAUUAGAACAUCAUGUGCAGAUCCCUCUCAACCAGCAAGCACAUAUGUGAACCUGAGGUCAAAGUCUACUGGUUCUAGAACAUUCUGAGUGAUGGUGUGCUUCCUGCCUCUAAAGGUAGCUUGCAUCUUUAAAGGAACUCUAGCUAAGACAUGUGUCCCAUCAAUUGCUCCUAUGCAGUCCUAAAUCAAGUAAACAAAUAACCAUAUGAAAAGGUUAGUACCAAGGUCAGUUGGUUACAUUCAUGAAAAGGCCACCAACCUUAAAAUAUGGGUACCAUCUCCUGCUGCCAUGGAUCCGAAGAUGGACACUAGUGGAUGGUGGAACAAUCAACUCAUUCCUCAACUCACCAACUGCAUACAAGACUUGGUGAAAGAAUCUACUAAUAGUCUCUGGUGACCUCCUAAAUGUCAUGUUAAUCACCCUGAACUGCUGCUUGUGACUAACAACAUGUAAGAAUAUUGCAACUUGUUCUUCAACAGUGGCAUGUAUGUUGUCCAUAACCAACUCUCUUAAACAAAACAAGUCACACAGUUGGAAAAAAGGUGCACUUCUCAUCCUUAGCAAGUUAACACAAUGUACAUCAUCAGAUUCAUAAAUGAAUCUUAGAUUAGUUAUCCUCUCUUGGUCCCUCUCUGCCAUAGGUCUGUAGGUAAUGCACAAGCAUCCUGAGCUCUCCUCCUAAACCACAUGAAAAACCAUGCAGCCACUGCAGCAACCAUAGUAGCCACCGCCUGGCGCCUAGCUUGGAAAUCCAUGUUUACCAAUACAAUGCAAUGUUAAUUAGAAUUGAGUACAAGCGCUUGGGGUCAUGUUGUUAAGCAAGCAAACAUUCAGAACUACAUGUUAUCCAAGACGCGGCUGCCACACCCGAGGGUGCUCAUCCGGCGGCAAUGAUUCAUCAUCGACCUAGGCAUUUUGCUCAGUAAUAUAUGAAUCAAUAAAUCCGAUCCACACGUUUGAAUAAACAUAGAUCCACAUUACAAAAACAUGGAUCCAGAUGCACACGAACAAAAGUACCGCACAGAUAUGAGAAUAUAAGAACCUAGAGUUCAUCGACGCUAAACAAAAAUAGACAAAUUAAUAGAUUAGUGUGGGAGAGAGGAGGAACCAGCAUUAGAGGAGGGGGAGAUGUACCGUCACUGCACCGGAGGACCAACAGUAGGUUGCCGGAGGACCUCGACCUGACUAGCGAACCGAGGUCGAAGAAGGGGAGGGAGAGGAGAAGGCGCACCAGGGAAAUGGAGGGGAGUGAAGGCAGUGGCGCGAGAAUGGGGCGAUAACCCUAGCCUCCCGCGCCUUUAUCCCUAGGACAACGCCAUCUGCCGCGCUCACCUGAAAUCUUCCUACCAGUAUUGCUCCAUCCCGGCUCGCAAGCGAAGGUCGCCUCUGGGCGGAUGGAGGAAUGUGGGAUGGAAUGGGGAAAGUGAACGAGGGGGUGCGGGUGUUUCGUGUGGGGAGGCGAACCAAACCGGCGAGAGUGUACGAGAUGGUUCUGGACGGUCCAUCGGACGCCCCCCUCCCAGCUACCAAUCACACCCUUAGGAAACCAUCCACUAAAUUCAAAUAAUGAUGUGCAUAAUUUAAAGUGGUGCUUUCAACAAUUUAUCUCAACGCUCACUAUAUUGAGCAUAUUCCUUUUGAUAUAAGAUCACAAGAUGCAGGAUUUUGAAUUGUUCAAAAGUUAGAUGCAUCAAAUUAAGGUGAAUAAAAAAUUUGCUUAUAACAAAAGACUCUGGCCAAAAUGAACCUGGUCUAGCUUACUUUUGAACCCUGACAGCAACUGACACACGAAAGCAAUCCAACACUAACAAUUGCGACAACAUUAAGGCUCUGUUUGGUUCCUUUAGUCCAUGGAUUAAACUUUAGUCCCACCCCUGUUUGGUUCCAUGGACUAAAGUGGACUAAAGUCCAUAAAUGCCGUUGAAGAAAGACCCUUUUACCCUUCUUCCCUACCCCUGGUACCUUUUUUCCCUGUUCUAGUGUUUCUGGCUUCUGCUAGCGCUAGACUCAGCAGGAAGAGCAAAGCAGAGUAGUCAGCAGAUCACAGAUUCACAGCACAACAUAGUUUCCAACCCCUACCGCCACCGCCACCGGGACACGCCGCAGGCCCUGUCCCCAACCACAACCCACCCGCCGCCGCAACACCGGCGCCCACCCAAGGGCGACGCGACGGAGCGGGGAGAGGGGUGGCCCGGGGAGGUGUGGAUUCGAGAGGGCCGCUGCUCGGGAUCCGGGUCCGUGCCAACCAUGGCUCCCUUCCUCAUCGCACUGUUUGGUCCCCAAGGGCUGGUGAUUUGAUCACUGGCCGCUGCGACUGGGGUGGGAGGGUGGCGGCGGGUGGGAGGCGGUGGGAAGAAGCCAGGUGGGAAGGCAGCAGCAGGUGGGAGGCGACGGGAGGGCAGCGGUGGGCGGGCGGGAGGGUGGGAUGGGGAGUAACGAGGGGUAGGGGUGUUCCCAAGACACUUUAGUCCAAUUUAGUCCAAUUUUGUGGACUAGAGGACUAAAGCCUUUAGUCCAAAUUUUAGUCCACCUGUUUGGGUGUUUAGGAACUGAAAAGUGCCAAUUUUAGUCCAAAAGGCUUUAGUCCAUGGGAACCAAACACCCUCUAAGUAUCUCCGCGCGUGCCAACAAGCUAAGGGGGUGUUUGGUUUGCCCCUGCUAAAGUUUAGGACUAAACUUUAGUCCAUUUUAGCCCCUAAACCUCCAAACACCCCUGCUUAUUUGGACUAAACUUUAAUCCAUAAGCCAUCAAAGGGUUGCUUAUGGGGGCUAAAAGGUACCCUGGACACCCCCUGCCCUCAUUGAAUGCUUGUCUGUUUGCACCUCUCUCUCGCCCCCCCCCCCCCCCGUCGCACCCAUCCACACGCCAUCCCCGCUGCCGCCGCUCACUGCGCCAUCCCCCUACACCAUCCCCGCCUGUGCUACCCUCGGUUCGGGCCACUCCUCCGCCACCACCAGCCCCCUUCCUCUGCUUGGCGCCGAGGUGCCCCUCCGCCUCACCGGUGAUGACCCGCUUGGGUCUGUCCUCGUCCGCAACCUCUACCGCUCCUACGACCCCUACAUGCGGCCCAAGAUGUCAUGCCCACUGCAGGAGUCCUACACGCCACCUUGGCCUCGGGCUCCGUCAUCAUGGGCUACGAUGUCACCCGCAUGCUCGACUCCUUCGACCCGCACCUCGCGCCCGAGGACCAGCUGGUGCUCAAGCAGUGCUUCCCGGAGGGCAUCGACAUCUACUUCGAGAACGUGAGCGACGUAGGGGCGCACAGUGCGGCGGCGGGCGCAGGAGGGCAGGCAGGACGCAACGCAGGUGGGUUAUCAGUGGCGUGGUGGUGUGGCGGUGGAGCGCGUGGCCGGGUGACAGGUGGUGAGCUAGGAGCGGCGAGGCAAGGCGUGGUGGCGACAGGACCAGGCGACGUAGUGGGUCGGGGCGCGGGGCGCAGGAGGCAGGGUGCGGCACAAGAGGGGGCCAGGGGACGGGCGGAAGAAGAAAGGAACAGGGAGAAGGAUGCGGCUACGCUCGGGAGGAAGGAGCAGCAGCUGGAGGAGGGAAAAGGGCAGGGGCACAAUUGAUUAGAGGUACUGAGGUCAUUGUUCAAGUCAUUUAUUGCUCUUUAAUCCCUACAACCAAAUAGGAGGACUAAACUUUAGUUCUUGAAAAUAAGCAAGUUUUAUCCCUAAAAUAAGUAAGGGCAAACCAAACAGACCUAAGACUCAACAUCAAAAUUCAUCUGAUAAGCAACACUCUCCAUGCUACUCCCCGAUGUAAGUAACAAAAAGACAAGGUGUGUGGCUCCCUGACGAUCUCGUCGGCCUGCUCCGGCGACAAGUGCUCUAGCAGGCACCCCUCCACCACAUGGCUGCUGGGCGCCUGCCUCGACAGCCUCACGUACCGCCCCCGGCCGGAACAGCUCGUGCAGCCAGCCCCUCGCCUCCGGCACCGACCUCAUCACCUGCUGCACCACGAAGUUCCUGCCACACCCAAAAGGCGAACCGCCGCCGGCAACGACGACGGCGAUCACGUCCUGAGAUCAAUGAAUCAAAUAAUGUGCGUAUAUGAAAGCCGUGCUCCGCGAGCGCGAUCCCGUCGCUGCGCAUGGCGAGGACGAUCGAUCUCGACAGCUGCUCGUCGUCGCCGGCGGCCUUGUCGAUGCACCUGUUCACCACGGUGCAACCGUGCUUGUCACGGCACAGGCGGCGAAGGAAGAAGCUGCUGGCGACGACGGCGGUGAUGAACUGCAGGUACACGUACGCUUGUUAAUUAUUAGAUCGUCGAAUCGCCAAUUCGCCAUUACAUUAUUGCUGCUAAUAGAUUACGCAUGGAGAAUUAAUGCGUGUGGCCGUGUGGGAUGAUUGAAAUAAUCGGCGUGUACCCGGUUCUGGUAGAUGGAGAACGUGUCGAGGCAUGUGAUGAUCAGGCGGCAGCCGUCCGAGUGUUCCAUGAGGGAGACCACACCGUGCUCGCCGACGCGGGCGAGGGUGCUGGUGAAGAGUUCGGCGUGCCCGGGAUUCCCGGCCAUUCUGCCCAUCAGCGUCUGAAGGAUGUUGGACCUGGCCGGACAGACAGAACACACAUAAAAUGCAAACGAAUUUGAAACAUAGCAGGAGCAUGAGAUAUGAUGAACAAAUCGAUCUUACCCUGCAUGGUUCCUGGCAACUGCGACGAUCUGAUCGGGAGAUGACGCCGCGAGGAUGUGGAGCACGCGCGUCAUCUGCUCGUCGGUCCAGUCAGGGCCGAGCCGGCAAAAAUCGAGGCCCUGUACCAAACUUUAAAAUGAGAUCUACCUUAAAAAAAAUAGAACUUUAAAUAAGAUAUAUGAUAUAUAUCACAAUAAGAUAUAUCAAAAAUCGUACCUAUUCAACUUUUGCUUUCAUAAUCUUUAAUUGAAGUACUUCAUUCUUUUAGUAUUCCUUGAAAUGAAAUCUUCAAUAAUAUGCUCAUAAUCAAUCUUCUCCAGUAAUCCACUUUCAAGUGCUAUUGUAGCCAAAUCAUUAAGUCUUUGUUGUGUCAUUGUCGAACGUAAAUAUGACUUCAAUAGUUUCAAUUUUGAAAAGCUUCGCUCUGCUGAUGCAACGGUCACAGGAAUGGUCAACAGAAUUCUAUAUGCAAUACUUGCAUUGGGAAAACAGUCAUGCCGCUUUAGGAACUUUAGAAUUUCAAUAGGACCCAUAUUUUCUUUAGGAAUGAAAUGUUGAAGAAACUUUAACUCCACAUACAAAUCAUUGGCAUCAACAUCAGAUUUUCCGUCUUUUGUAAGGACAGCCCCAAGAUUAUCACAAGAAGAUUUCAAACUCGUGUCAUCCAAUGAUUGUAAUGUUUCAGAGGUAAAUAGGAAACCAAAAUUUUGUUGGUAACUCUGGUACUGUUCAAAUCUUGUUGUGAGUGAGGAAAUUGCUUGAUCAACAAUAGGUAAAAAAUAGCUUAUUCUAAAUAGCUCCUCGGCAGAUUGUGUAGUAGCAUUUGUGUCAUCUAGGUUCUCAUCAAAUUGUUUCUUUCUUUUAAUUUCUCUUCUUUUACGAAACGUUGUACCAAUAUCCAUCUCAAGUGCAAUCCCUUUGGCAAUCUCUAAUGCUUCUGAGAAACCAGUUUCCCUAUAACCCUUGAAGAAAGAAAUCAACCCUUCCACUUUCUCAAUGGCAACAUCAAUAAGCAUAUCUUUUGCUUGCAAGUGUUUGCUUACUAAAUUAACGGCAUAUAAUACCUCAUACCAAAUGACGAUUGACAAUAUAAAUUCAUAUUCUCCAAGUUCAUUGUUUGCCAAGCCCUUAGCCUCACUGCUUGUUUUUGGAUCAUUAUCAACAUCAGAUACCUGAAAUUGAAAGGAAGAAAAUAUGUGUUAUAGUUGGAGAUUGCCAAAAUAAGUACAUCAUUAUCAAAUAUCAGUACAAGUGUACAAUAAUAUUGGGUACCUGAAGUAGAGCCUCUCGAAUGUCUGUGCACUGAAAUCUUAUAGCUUUAACACUUUCAACACGACUCUCCCAACGUGUAGCUGAUACUGACUUAAGAGUCAAUCCUGAUAUGUUAUCUUUCAGAAUCUGCCAUUUCUUGGUAGAAUUAGCAAAAGUUGUAUAGAUGCGCUGGAUGAUUCCAAAGAAAUCCUUAGCUUUACCACAAGUCUUAGCCAUAUCACAAAGUGUUAAAUUAAGGCUAUGGCAACCACAAGCAGAAUAGAAAGCACGAGGAUUUACAUCCAAAAGUUUCUUUUUUACCCCUUUAUGUUUCCCUUUCAUAUUUGACCCAUUAUCAUAACCUUGUCCUCUCACAUCAUCUAUAUCAAGACCAAGGAGCUUUAGUUCAUUCUCUAGCACGUCAAAAAUUCCUUGCCCAGUUGUAUCAUUGACAUCCAAAAAUCCUAUAAAGGAUUCUUCUACGCGAACAUCACUUGAAGAUGAGUCAACAUAUCUUAUAAUUAAAGACAUUUGUUCUUGGUGGCUUGCAUCAGGAGUACAAUCAAGUAUGACAGAGAAGUACUUUGCACUCUUUAUUUUCUUAAUAAUUUCAGACUUAAUAGCAGAAGCAAGCAAAUGUAUCAACUCAUUCUGAAUCUUAAAAUCAAGAUAAUGAGCUUGAGUUUCCUCACUUGUAAUACGACGAACAUGUUCUUGAAUAAUUGGGUCAAAUUCAGCCAACAUCUCUACCAAUCCCAAGAAAUUCCCAUUGCUAUCUUCAUACAUUUUGCUAUUAGUCCCACGAAAAGCUAGAUUAUGCUUGGCAAGAAAUUUAACAAUGCAAACAAUUCUGAACAAAACUUUUCUCCAAUGGUCCUUUUCUUUCUCGAGUUGUCGUUGAGCAUCUUUAUCAAUAGUUUGAUCCUUUUGCAAUCUACUACGCAACUCAUACCAAGUUGUCAUACUCAAAACAUGAUUUGGACUUGUCUCAUGCUCUUUAAGUCUAAUACCAAGAUGUAUCCAGUCAUUAAACCCCUCAUUUGCCAACUGACCUUUUCGAUGGCCUUUUGUAAAUAAUUUACAACCAAAGCAAAAGACCUUGUCGAGUUCCUUAGAAUAGACAAGCCAAUCUCUAUCACAAUGCUCCCCAUUUGAUAAAAUUCUUGUAUAGAAUAGUGCAGAAAACCUUCUGGAAUAUCUAUCCUUAGGACCUUUUGUAAUUGAUAAAUCUCUUGUAGGGCCCUUUUCUGCUAAAAUAUCAAUUUGUUUAUGAUCAAGGGAAUCCCAAUAUCUAGGAUCAAAUAUAUCAGGCUGAAAGGAAUCAUUAACAUCUGCAACAAUAUUGUCAUCAUUAACUUCCUCAACCCCAACAAUAUUUUCUGUCUCUAUCUGACCAUCUGUAGGAUCAUUGUCAUCAUUAUUAUCAAGUGCAGCUCCCUGUCCUUGACCAAGUGAUUGAUUAUCGGUGGACUCUUUUCUAACAAAUUUAUCCAUAGCACCCUUUUGAGAUUGAGUUAAAUCCUCUAUUCUUUGUUUUUUCUUACGCUUUUGGUAACCAGAUUCAUACUUUCUAGACCGAUUUGCAGAAGACAUGACUACAACCUCAAAUUGAAACACUAGAUAAUUCAGAACCGGAACAAAGAUAACCGAACACCUAGAUGGAUCAAUAUAAUAUUAAUCAUCACUAAUUAACAUUUAUUAACAUAUUAAAAAUUAACUGAACCAGAUUAGGUACCUGGACUCGUGGAGACUCGACGAUCGAUCCCAAUUCACAAAUUAAUCGGCCGGCAGCAACGGCAAAUUAAUCACGCGGUGACGUCUACUGGUUGCUGCCUGCGCUGGUCGGCGGACGGAUGAGAAAACCAAAAAGCGAUCGCGUGGAUGGGAGACAAGACGCGGAGGCAUGCGAGACGGCGGAGUUAGGGCCUUGCGGAGACUGACCGAGCUAAAUUGACUUGUUUUGCUUCCGGGUGCCUGAUGGGCUGCAGGCAAGCUAAAUUAACCUGUUUUGCUUCCGGGUGCCUGAUGGGCUGCAGGCCUGCGUGUCUGCGUAGAAAAUAUUUUGGGCCCCUGGAAAUUGGGGGCCCUGUACCGGCGUACCGGCUGCACGCCCAUGCGCUCGGGCCUGGGUCCAGUACUCCACCAACUUCUCCACGAGCUCGUGGCCAUGAGCCGGACGAUCUCGCCGGCGAGCUCCUCGAACCACCUGCUCCGCCGCGGCGGCGCCGCCCUCGGCCACCAUCCGGACCAGGAACUGGCACCCGGCGAGGUGCCUGGAGACGCCGCUCAUGGCGCCCCUCACGUCCUCCAGCCUCCUCCCGGUGUACGGGUCGCCGUGGCCACGGCCGGGCCCGGGGAAAGGGGCGUUCUGCAGGUCGCCGGCGUUGAGCUGCAGCUCCUGGCGCAGUGCCGCCCAUGGUUCACCAAAUCGUACAGGUGGCGCCUGCCGCGCGCGAGGAGGCUUUCGCCGCGGCCGCGGUCGCGGAUGCUGAGAGAUGUCAGCGACCUGGAGAUGAAGCUGUCAAGUUGCUCCAUGUACCCGUCGAGCUGCGAGGGAAAGGUCGCACCGCCGCCGCCGUUGCCACGAUAAUAUAAUAGAACUCGUGCCCGGCACCAUUGUGCCAGCUGUUACCCGUACGUGCAUGAUGGGGCCCAGGGAUGCCGGCGCCGGCGCCGGUGAAAGGCGAGGGGAAGGGUGCGCUGCCACCGCCGUUGCCGGCUGGCCAGUAGCCCGGACCUGCAUGCUGGGGCCCAGAGGUACCGGCGCCGGUGGAAGGCGAUGGGAAGGAUAAGCUGCCACCGCCGUUGCUGUGUGGCCAGUAGCCCGGACCUGCAUGCUGGGGCCCAGGGGCACCGUCGCCGGUGAAAGGCGAGGGGAAGGGUGCGCUGCCACAGUCGUUGCCGGCUGGCCACUGGCCAGUAGCCCGGACCUGCAUGCUGGGGCACGUACAUGGGGGCAUUCAUGUGCGUUGAGGGAAAGUGUGUACUGCCGCCGCCGCCCACGGGAUUCUCCGGUAAGAAGCCCAUAACGCCAUCAUAGCCACCACCACGUCUGUCAACGGCGCGGCUGCCGCCGUAGCUGGCUCCUCCGUUGCUGCUCCCGUAGCUUCCAUCGCCGCCGCUUGUGGCAGUACCAUCCCAGCCAACAGCACCAGCGGUGCCGCCGAGGCCGCCGUAGCUGGCGCCUCCGUUGCUGCCCCCGUAGCUUCCACUGCCGCCGUUUCUACCAGCGGCGUUCCAGCCUAAGGGAUCAGGAGUGCCGGCGCCGAUUCAGUUGCCGCCGCCACCAUAGCUAACGUAGCCGCCGUCGUAAGGAUUGACGGACGGCUCCACGUACGAACGCAACGCCGCCGACGCUCAAGUAACCGGCCUGGUGGACUUGCCCGCGUUGAGAUGGCUCAGCACCACCGCCGCUCAUGGGGCUGUCAGGGCCAUGCUCGUCGCGGUCGUCGACGACGACUUGCUUGCCCUUGGCAGAUCGGUUCCCAUCCGCCAUGUUGGAGACAGGGAGGGACCAGAAUCCCUAGCGGAUUUAUAUCGUACAUAUGGGGUGGGGUGCGGUGGCCGUCGUAGCGUGCAUGGACUGCGUUUAGAUAGAGGGGUUCCCCUGGUUUAAAUCUGGAAGCGGGGAAAAAAAUUCUCCGCCGCACAGCGUGCCUGGUGCGACACCGACAAGAUGCUCAACGCGUGGCAAGCUGAUCCCAUCAGGCGCACGCCCAUCCGCUGGAGCCAUCUCCCGUUGCGCCAUUGAGAGCCGAUGCCGUAACAUCCAUCAUCGAAGCCGGCUCUCCUUCCGCUCUUUCCGGAGAUUGAAGGCAGCUCCGUCAAAAUCGAGCUGCCCCAAUCCUCGUUGCGUGCAAAGUUCUGCCGCAAUCUCUAUCACGUUCGUGCCCGCCAUCCAUGAAGAUUUAACGCGGGGCAAUCGAAUGCAGAUGAGAUGAGAGCACGAUCCAUCAUCUUCUGCCAUCAACGAUCAUGGCGGAGCUAGACAUCCACACCGUGAUUACAUCCACCCUAACUAUCGAGAUGCAUCGGUUAUUGCUCGAAAAUAAAAUGCAUUCUAAUGAAGCAUCAAAUUCCUCAACAGUUGAGGAGUAGCAUGCUUUGAGGAUUUUUAAUUGAACUGUAGGAUCCAUUCGCACUGUUUUAGUGAUUCUGAACAAUUUCUGACUUCACAAAGCUAGUAGAUUGAACAUCGUGUGAUGAGAUGAUGCCUGAUCUGACCACCCCUUCCAGCCUGCAAUUUUCAUCUUCUCUACGGAAACUUGAGAGAACACCAGAUGCACCUCCAAGAAGCACCGUCUUGAUUGAUAUCUGGCAAAUUCAGAAGCCGAAGUUAUAUCUCAAAGGCUAAACACUGCAAGCAUUGUCAUCGACACACAAAUGUCUCCCCUGCUUAAUCUUAGAUAUAUUCCAACAACAGUAUUGUUGCCCAAUCAUACAUCCGUCCAGAGAUCAAUUUUCUGACCAUCAAAGUAGCCCUUUACAGAAUUACAGUCUGCAUUUCCUUUUUUUUUUUGUGCAUGUUCACCCUACAAGACUGAUGGUUUCUGGAGACCAUCAAGCUUGCAGCUCGCUCGGCGGAGCGCUGUGCCGGCACUGCUCGCCCCCUGCCGCUCGCGCAGACCACCGCUAGGCUGCAUAGCUCGACGACCCGCCGCUGCCUCUCGCUCUUGCUGCCUGUGGCGCCUCCGUUCGAUUCAAACAAGAGCACGCCACACGCCCCCGCCCGCGUUUUUAGCUUUCUGGUGCGGUUCUGAUGAGGGAUGGAGAAGAGCAGCAAAAUUCCACUCUGUUGGGUUUGCUUCGCCGCUGCCCGUCUGCUGGAGUGGAGAUACAGUCUGUGGCAUAAAUUUUGAAGCAUACAUAAUUUGUUGGUAUACAAAAGACGGCUGUGGAGAUACGGGUAAAGGGAAACAGAUGUUACAGAUGUUUUUUUGACUUCAACGAAACGGAUUGAAUUAUUGCAACAAGGGCUUUUGGCGCGACUUGUUGAAGCUGCACAAUGCAGUUUAUGCGUAGUGUUUUCAACUUUUUUUUUUAUGCAACUAGUGUUUCAACUUUCAACUUGGUUUGCAUUUUGAGCAACAUGAGAACGAAAUUCAACAAAAAAAUAAUGACAAAAUCUCAGCGACCUUUUUUUAUGCAGAUGCCGGCAACGGUUACGGGCAACUCACCCUUCACAAUCUCAGCGACAGUGCGACACGCACACGAUGCAACAUGUCUGGUAGCUGACAUCGCAUAUCCACAUUGCACCUCUAGCCAAAGCCAAGCAAUGCUCACCGCCAGUAAAUGGAAAAUUGUGUUGAGAUUGACCUACUGAUAUAGGCUAUCUGACUCUCUCUGUUAGGAGAUCAAUUUGGAGUUUCGAUCAUCCGGCCAUCUGUAGUCUUCGUUUGAAUUUUGAAACCGCGGUAAGUUCUCUGUUCCGCUUUGCGCGGCGCCUUCUUCCAACUGUAUGAAGAUGUUCAACAAGUGAAGCAGCGUUUAUUUGUGUCGAGGAAUCUGCGAUGGGAGGACGGAACGGAAGAGGGUACCAGCUUUGGGGGGCCCGUUGGCGGAGUUUCCACUGGCAGAAAGAGCUUCAUGUUCUGCUUCUGCAGAAGAAUACUGCGCUCGAAAGCGCAGCAACCGCAAGUGCUCGACCACCUGAAAUGCUGAGCAUUUAGCUGCAUUCAGCUCAUGUGCAGACGCCAGGAGAUCUCCAAACCCUUUCAGAACACACUUCGAUAUAUUCAGAAUGACAAUGCGCUCUUACAAGCACGGACCGGCAUCACCGGCAGGCACAUAGUCCAGACCUUGUAGAUGUAUGCAGUUCAGUUCGCAAAAAUAAGAUCAACUCGAAUCAAAUAGAUUUCUCAGCCGCAUACCAAAUGAAUUUGUCAAAAGUACAAAUUCCGAUCACUGAACAGGCAGUAGCCAGAACAAAUAAGAUCCGCAAAACAUCUAAGAUCGGCAGUCUGAUCAAAAGCAACGCGGAACCGAAUCACAACACAGCACGAGCGCCACACGAAUCCCAAACAUUUUCUGGGCAUGAAUCAGGUGCAGAAUGUGACAAAUUGAGACCACCACGCAUGUAAGCAUCAAACGAGAUAUCAGCGAACAAACAAGAAUAAUACCAGCUCUUGAUGAUUUGUAUUAAAAGCAGAUGACACAGCUCUUAAAACAAGAGUUCAGAUGUCCAAAUCGUUCACUUCUCUCCUUGGCUCACACUUGAAAAUUGUUCUAAUCUCCUAGCAAGCCCAUAACCAAGCACAAAUUUUAAACCAUAGCCCAAAAUGUUGAACAUAAAGCUCCAGA